GAGGAACUGGACCGUAGGGAUCGACGUGUUGCUCUGUAAUCACAUGAUUCGAUUUUUUAAUAUCGGAUCCGAGAAAUACGUUGACUCGCGCGCUAUUUCGGAUAUUUGUGUCUGAUCGUAUAAGGCGAGGAUCUGCACGCACUCUUGUGACUCGAUGACAUCGUGCACGCUGUGUUCGUCAGAUUGUUGGUCGAGUUUUGAACUUGACUCUGAGCACCUGCCAUUGUCGAGGAAUUUUGAAUACUCGGAAAACGGAUGCAAGGACGAGGCUCUGGUGGCGGAUACAACGGUCAUUCUGAAAAUUCGCGUCCGGAAGAAACGAUCGAUAAAAAGUGAAAUUUUACCGUUCUCUGCU